AAGGUCUUCUAGAAUCCAUGUGUGCCCAACAAUAGCCACUGAAGGGAAGCUUACCAGAGUGCCAUCGUGUUCCUUCCCCUAAGGAUCAGACUUCCUGACUCAAGGUCUCUCCUGAGCACAUGCCUUCAUAAACCAGCUGCACAAGUAAUUGCAUCUGGGGAUCUGCUUCAAGAGAAACUUACCUAAAGCAAGAACGGGCUCUGACUUCAGGAUACCUAGGAUUCUAACCUUGUUCCAUUACUUAUCAACCAUACGACCUGGAGAAAAUUAUAUACCUGCUCUAAGCCUCAA